rfam:Helianthus annuus linkage group 3, whole genome shotgun sequence.
AUACCUUUCUCGGCCUUUUGGCUAAGAUCAAGUGUAGUAUCUGUUCUUAUCAGUUUAGUUUAAUAUCUGAUAUGUGGGUCAUCGGCCCACUUGAUAUUAAUCUUAUUUUUUAUGGGGAAAAGCCCAUCACAAUAGCUUGCUAUUGGGGCUUUUAAGUGUUGCCUUGUUGUUGCACUACUACCUUGGGUUGGCGCACCCCUC